UGUUCAUAGACAGACAGACAGACCUC
rnacentral:piRNA from 1 species